CCAUUAGCCAAGGCACUUGACAUGUUCUAUCUUUAUUGUUCAGAGUAAAGAUACUAGAACACAAACUUCCUAUAUAAUCUCAACAAUAGUUAGUAACAAGUCCUACACAACAUUGAUAUUACAUAAGGGGUCUUGGUAGAAUUAUUAAAGGUAGGGUAAAGGAUAAAAUAUGAUAAAUAAAUAUUAAACAAAGCAAAAUGAGAAAGAAAAAUAAGGCAACAAUGCAACCACACAAAAUCAAUCCUUACAUAAAAUGGGACUUUUCAUAAUGACAUAAUAAUGAAUUUAAUACGAUACAAUAAAAUUUAAGUAACAAUCACAACAAAUACUAUAUUCAAAAUAGCAAUACGAUAUAUUAGCGCUGUUUCAAUUUGUCUGUCUUACUUUCCUUUUUAAUCUAUUUUAAAAAAUGCCAUUUGCUAUAUUUAGUCGCUCCUUACACUCAACACCGCACAUGGCAUAUUUACGACCACUAGAUUCAAAGAACAUUUUGGUAU